rnacentral:rRNA from 1 species
AACGAACGCUGGCGGCAUGCCUAACACAUGCAAGUCGAACGAGACCUUCGGGUCUAGUGGCGCACGGGUGCGUAACGCGUGGGAACCUGCCCUUAGGUUCGGAAUAACUCCCCGAAAGGGGUGCUAAUACCGGAUAAUGUCUUCGGACCAAAGAUUUAUCGCCUUUGGAUGGGCCCGCGUUGGAUUAGCUAGUUGGUAGGGUAAAAGCCUACCAAGGCGACGAUCCAUAGCUGGUCUGAGAGGAUGAUCAGCCACACUGGGACUGAGACACGGCCCAGACCCCUCCGGGGGGAAGCAGGGGGGAAUUUUGGAAAAGGGGCGAAAGCCUGAUCCAGCAAUGCCGGGUGAGUGAUGAAGGCCUUAGGGUUGUAAAGCUCUUUUACCCGGGAUGAUAAUGACAGUACCGGGAAAAAAAGCCCCGGCUAACCCCGU